rnacentral:lncRNA from 1 species
CUUCCACCAACCAGCCUCCCGUCAGAACGGGACAUGCGCAAUAACUUCUACAAGAACCUGUGUAUCGGAUCCUAACUAAAUCAAAAUGUUUGAAAUCAGAAGAUCAUGAUCGGUGCUUUUGAAUGUGUGUAGUUUUCAGAGGAAUUAAAAACAGAAGAGAAAAGGACAACUUUGGGAGAGCAUCAAAGAUGUCCACUUCUGCCUCCGUAAGAUAGCUAUUGCAGGCUGUGUGGUGGAGAAAAUACCUAUAGAAAUUAAGACACUCAAGCGCCACAGAAAUAUUACAAGAAAUCAAGAGCACAGAAUAUUUCCUUCCAUCAAUCCUCAGAACCCUGAAACAUUUCUAACUCCAUCAAACACAGAGCACAGAGGAAGGCCCACCUUGGCAGAUGGCCACAGAGGAUGUCAACAAUUUCUUGGAGAGAGAAGCAGCACUCCCUUGCUGAGCACAGUGCCCCUGGACACUUGCCACCAUUACACUGUUGGAGCUCACGCUUGCUAUGCUUGUCCCAGUUUCUCUCCAGAAGAAGUUGGAAACCUAACCGCCUACAGAGGCCAGAAUGGUGGAAUGAAACAGGAAGCCGCUGAAGGGAGCUGGAAAGCCAAGCCCUUUCUGGAGGAGCAGCCCCUGCUCUGUUCCAGAUAACCGUGGCGAGGCAGAAAUGUUGACUCACUCUUACCGCACUCACUGUCCAGUUUCUCAGGCUAUAUCAAUGGAAUUUUGAAGACAUGAAAACAUCAGAUGAACCAGCCUGCAACACCUUGGAUUCCCAUUGGAAAAUGAAGUGGAAGCUUAAAGCAUGUGGCCUUUAACGGCGGGCAGUACUGGAGACAUUACCUGGCUGCUGGUGUCAGGACAGACCGGUGUCUAGAUAGUCGAGGUUAUUUUAGUCCAGUAUC